rnacentral:rRNA from 1 species
AGUGAACGCUGGCGGUAGGCCUAACACAUGCAAGUCGAACGGCAGCACAGUAAGAGCUUGCUCUUACGGGUGGCGAGUGGCGGACGGGUGAGGAAUACAUCGGAAUCUACUUUUUCGUGGGGGAUAACGUAGGGAAACUUACGCUAAUACCGCAUACGACCUACGGGUGAAAGCAGGGGAUCUUCGGACCUUGCGCGAUUGAAUGAGCCGAUGUCGGAUUAGCUAGUCGGCGGGGUAAAGGCCCACCAAGGCGACGAUCCGUAGCUGGUCUGAGAGGAUGAUCAGCCACACUGGAACUGAGACACGGUCCAGACUCCUACGGGAGGUAGCAGUGGGGAAUAUUGGACAAUGGGCGCAAGCCUGAUCCAGCCAUACCGCGUGGGUGAAGAAGGCCUUCGGGUUGUAAAGCCCUUUUGUUGGGAAAGAAAAGCAGCAGGUUAAUACCCCGCUGUUCUGACGGUACCCAAAGAAUAAGCACCGGCUAACUUCGUG